UGGCCUACGGGAGGCAGCAGUGGGGAAUAUUGCACAAUGGGGGAAACCCUGAUGCAGCGACGCCGCGUGAGUGAAGAAGUAUUUCGGUAUGUAAAGCUCUCUCAGCAGGGAAGAUAAUGACGGUACCUGACUAAGAAGCCCCGGCUAACUACGUGCCAGCAGCCGCGGUAAUACGUAGGGGGCAAGCGUUAUCCGGAUUUACUGGGUGUAAAGGGUGCGUAGGUGGCAGGGCAAGUCAGAUGUGAAAGCCCGAGGCGCAACCCCGGUACUGCCUUUGAAACUGUCCAGCUGGAUUGCAG
rnacentral:rRNA from 1 species